rnacentral:rRNA from 1 species
GAUGAACGCUGGCGGCGUGCUUAACACAUGCAAGUCGAACGAAGCAUUUAAGACAGAUUACUUCGGUUUGAAGUCUUUUAUGACUGAGUGGCGGACGGGUGAGUAACGCGUGGGUAACCUGCCUCAUACAGGGGGAUAGCAGCUGGAAACGGCUGGUAAUACCGCAUAAGCGCACAGUACCACAUGGUACAGUGUGAAAAACUCCGGUGGUAUGAGAUGGACCCGCGUCUGAUUAGCUAGUUGGCGGGGUAACGGCCCACCAAGGCGACGAUCAGUAGCCGACCUGAGAGGGUGACCGGCCACAUUGGGACUGAGACACGGCCCAGACUCCUACGGGAAGCAGCAGUGGGGAAUAUUGCACAAUGGAGGAAACUCUGAUGCAGCGACGCCGCGUGAGUGAAGAAGUAGUUCGCUAUGUAAAGCUCUAUCAGCAGGGAAGAUAGUGACGGUACCUGACUAAGAAGCUCCGGCUAAAUACGUG